UAUGAAUCUUCAUUUUGCAAGGCAACUUUACCUUAGUCAUCUUUGAUUAACUUUGCCUCAUAUUUUGUCUGUGUUGUAUUUGUUGUUUAUAUAUUUCCUUCAAAAGUUUAGCAAGACAUGACUUACAAGUUUCCAUGCCAAAUCAAGGAUUUUACUCCCUCAAUUCAAAGAGAUUUUAUUAGUGAACGAGAAAAGCACAAGGAGACUGAUGAAUACAAGAGAGCAAUAGAAGAAGAAUGGGCAUCUAUGCUGCGACAGUUACAAAUUCAGGCAGAAGAGGAAAAGAGGCUACGUAGGAGAAAAAGAGAUGAAAGGCAUUUGGUGGACAUGCAGAGGAGGUAAAAGCAACGUGUGGAGGAAGUGAGAAAGACCACAAAGAAGGAUGAGGAAAAUAUGAACUUGAAAGAGCAACUUAAUGAUGGCAAAUCAAGGAUGAGGAAAAUAUGAACUUGAAAGAGCAACUUCGUGUUGAAAUAAGGAAGGAGCUUGAUAAAUUGGAAACCUCGGAUAUGGCCACAUUGCUUUGGGGCUUAGGAAUCAAACUUGGUGGUGAUUCUGAUCCCCUGCCACAUGAGGUGCAAACAGCUUACAAACAAGCCGUGUUAAAAUUUCAUCCAGACCGGGCAUCAAAAACUGACGUUCGCCAGCAGGUUGAAGCUGAAGAAAAAUUUAAGCUUAUUUCCCGGACAAAGAGAAAUUUUUAGCAACUUCAUGUCACUGAAUGCA